rnacentral:rRNA from 1 species
GACGAACGCUGGCGGCGUGCUUAACACAUGCAAGUCGAACGAUGAAGCUGGAGCUUGCUCCAGUGGAUUAGUGGCGAACGGGUGAGUAACACGUGAGCAAUCUGCCCUUGACUCUGGGAUAACUGCGGGAAACUGUAGCUAAUACCGGAUACGACACCUUGGGGCAUCCCGGGGGGUGGAAAGAAUUUCGGUCAAGGAUGAGCUCGCGGCCUAUCAGCUUGUUGGUGAGGUAAAGGCUCACCAAGGCGACGACGGGUAGCCGGCCUGAGAGGGUGACCGGCCACACUGGAACUGAGACACGGUCCAGACUCCUACGGGAGGCAGCAGUGGGGAAUAUUGCACAAUGGGCGAAAGCCUGAUGCAGCAACGCCGCGUGAGGGACGACGGCCUUCGGGUUGUAAACCUCUUUUAGCAGGGAAGAAGCGAAAGUGACGGUACCUGCAGAAAAAGCACCGGCUAACUACGUGCCAGCCGCCGCAGUAA